ensembl:lncRNA
UAACGACCUGCAUAAUACAUAGAGAAAAUUUGGGAAAAACAAAGAAAUAUAAAUAAGAGGAAAAUAAAUACCUCUUUCUCCUGAAUGAUACCCGUUUUCCACAUACUGGGUGACUACUGAAGCCCACCUGAUCGUGUCAGAAGAGUUUCAAGUGGCCUCCUAACCUUGCUGGGGGCCAGCGUCCAGCCCUUCAGGAAUACCCCACUCCUGCCUCGUCCCUCUGCUACUGCAAGGACCAGGACUUUCAGGCAUCAGCAGAUGGCCCAAGAGGCUCUUUGGGAGACAACCCUGAGCCUGAAGCUAGUGUUAGCUUUAGCUUUGCCUGACUGCCCCCCACCACCAGGGAUCCGCUCACCCCUUCCCUUGCGUGGAACAUGUGUGGUGCUCCACACACCUUCUUUUCUUUUUUUUUGUUUUUUUUUUUGUUUUUUUUUUAAUCUACAGAUAGUGAUGUAACUGGUGUAUUUGUGCACAAAAGUAACCUAGCAUUCCGGAUGAGUACACAGGAGACAAACUCAUUGAAACUGCACGCCCCAGCGACGUGCUGGGUCUGGACCCAGUGGGUGGGCCCCAGAGUCUCUUUGUUGUUCCGCUUUGUUUUCAGCAGCUCAGGUUAUGAUGAUGAGACACAGCCAGCUCUGGCAGACAGCGUGGGUGUGUGGAUGACCCGCCUCACUCACGGCGGGCCCCUUUCCCUCACACCUCAGUGUCCCGGUUUCAGCCACGGGGUUAAAAAUAACCACAGUAACAAACAAAAGCAAAAUAACAACAAGAAAACUUCAACAGCAUUAAAAGGGAAUUUACUGACGGAAAACCCAAAGCCUAGAAAGGCGAGACCUAAGGAGACCCCAAUCCGCAUGGCUGCGAGACCCAAGGUGACUCCAAUCCGCAUGGCUGCGAGACCUAAGGUGGCCCCAAUCCACAUGGCUUCAAGACCCGAGGUGACCCCAAUCCACAUGGCUGCUGAGACCCAAGGUGACCCCAAUCCACAUGGCUGCAAGACCAAAGGUGACUCCAAUCCACACGGCUGCGAGACCCAAGGUGACCCCAAUCCACGUGGCUGCAAGACCCAAGGUGACCCCAAUCCGCAUGGCUACAAGACCCAAGGUGACCCCAAUCCACAUGGCUGCAGACCCAGACCCCACUGUGUAGCUGUGAGACCCAAGGUGACCCUAACCAGAUGGCUUGGCACCCGUGACCCUGCAAUUCGCA